UUUUAAACAUGUGACAAGUGGUAUGACACUGUAUUGAUGUAUGUGAAAUGUAUAGAGUCUUUCAGUUAUCAGAUAAUGUCAAGGAGUUGACAGCAUGGUGUCCGAUUUAAAGUGCGAACCUGUGUACGAGUAACAACAGUAUUCAAAACCAAAACCUAUUUAAACCAA
rnacentral:lncRNA from 1 species